rnacentral:rRNA from 1 species
GACGUAGGGCGCGAGCGUUACUCGGAAUUACUGGGCGUAAAGCGUGCGUAGGUGGUUUGUUAAGUCUGAUGUGAAAGCCCUGGGCUCAACCUGGGAAUUGCAUUGGAUACUGGCAGGCUAGAGUGCGGUAGAGGAUGGCGGAAUUCCCGGUGUAGCAGUGAAAUGCGUAGAGAUCGGGAGGAACAUCUGUGGCGAAGGCGGCCAUCUGGACCAGCACUGACACUGAGGCACGAAAGCGUGGGGAGCAAACAGG